GCUUACGGCCACACCGCCUGGUUCACGCCCAAUCUCGUUUGAUCUCGGAAGCUAAGAUAGGUUGGGCCUGUUAGUACUUGGAUGGGAGACCGCCUGGGAAUACCAGGUGCUGUGGCUU
rnacentral:rRNA from 1 species